CGGGGUGUGGCGCAGUUGGCUAGCGCGCCUGCUUUGGGAGCAGGAGGUCGAAGGUUCAAGUCCUUUCACCCCGACCA
rnacentral:tRNA from 1 species